rnacentral:misc_RNA from 1 species
GAUGAAGAACGCAGCGAAAUGCGAUAAGUAAUGUGAAUUGCAGAAUUCAGUGAAUCAUCGAGUCUUUGAACGCACAUUGCGCCCCCUGGUAUUCCGGGGGGCAUGCCUGUCCGAGCGUCAUUGCUGCCCUCAAGCACGGCUUGUGUGUUGGGCCCCCGUCCCCGGUUUCCCCCGGGGACGGGCCCGAAUGGCAGCGGCGGCACCGCGUCCGGUCCUCGAGCGUAUGGGGCUUUGUCACCCGCUCUGUAGGCCCGGCCGGCGCCAGCCGACACCCAACUUUAUUUCUAAGGUUGACCUCGGAUCAGGUAGGGAUACCCGCUGAACUUAAGCAUAUCAAUAAGCGGAGGA